rnacentral:rRNA from 1 species
GAUGAACGCUAGCGGGAGGCUUAACACAUGCAAGUCGAGGGGUAACAUGAUGUAGCAAUACGUUGAUGACGACCGGCGCACGGGUGAGUAACGCGUAUGCAACCUACCCUGUACAGGGGGAUAGCCCGGAGAAAUUCGGAUUAAUACCCCAUAAUUAUAUUUGGAGGCAUCUUCAGAUAUUUAAAGUUUCGACGGUACAGGAUGGGCAUGCGUGACAUUAGCUAGUUGGUAGGGUAACGGCUUACCAAGGCUACGAUGUCUAGGGGUCCUGAGAGGGUGAUCCCCCACACUGGUACUGAGACACGGACCAGACUCCUACGGGAGGCAGCAGUGAGGAAUAUUGGUCAAUGGGCGUAAGCCUGAACCAGCCAUCCCGCGUGAAGGAAGAAGGCGCUAUGCGUCGUAAACUUCUUUUCCGGA